UUUGAUUACAUCUUAUAAGCUUUCUUGAAGGAAAAAAAUCAGGCGUUUUCAAAAACAUUUUCUUCGAAUCUUCCUAAUUUCCUUACAAGAUAUUUCAAGUUAUCUGUCUCACAUGUUACAUCUGAAGAUAGGUCAUUCAAAAACAGGAAGGGGAUAAAUUAGUCUUCACAUGGACCUUCAUGAAUUUUGACUGUACAAAAUCGAUGAUAUGGCAGGGAGUAAGUCGAAAUUUGCUCAAAUUAACAGGGGAGAAAACCGGAAAUGACUUAUAUUACAGGUGGGUAAAACACUAUUAACCCUAACCUUUGUCAGUAAGCCACGUCAAUAGCCCCCAAAAAGAAAAGCUAGUAAUGUUUGUUUGCUCAGAAACCUAUUUCAGAGACCUCACAAAGCACUAGGGUUUGAACAUUGAAGGCAGAUUUAUUAGAUGCAAUGGAGAUAAAAAUCACACUUAAAGUUUUGUCUAAAUGCAACAACAUUAGGAAUUUUGGAAUUUAAAGAAUUUCAAAUCUGUCACAGAACAUAGAGAGAAAAGAGAGGAAAAUUGAAUGGUUUUGUCAAGAUAUUAUGAUGGAACUUGAUUGAGAGAAAUAACCAAUGUUCAUCUUUUUUUGUGUAUUUUCAUCCAUCACCCAUGUGGAUUGACAAUAAAUUUCACAUUUUGGUGAGAACUAAUUUCCAUAUUCCCCCCAUGCUCACUUAACAAUAUUUUACUUAAGGAUAAAACGAAGAAGAGUUAACAAUGCAAUUACAAAAGAUAUUUGCACAUAGCAUGUGUGGUGAUGUAUGCAGAAGAGAAGUUACAAUAAAACAAAGGACUAAUCCAAUGACACAGGAAGAGUAAAAGUAAAAGAUAAUCCAAUGUAUUAAUCCUCAUCCAUUUUUACAUUAAUUACAGUAUGAG
rnacentral:lncRNA from 1 species